rnacentral:rRNA from 1 species
AACGAACGCUGGCGGCAGGCUUAACACAUGCAAGUCGAACGCCCCGCAAGGGGAGUGGCAGACGGGUGAGUAACGCGUGGGAAUCUACCCAUCCCUACGGAACAACUCCGGGAAACUGGAGCUAAUACCGUAUACGCCCUACGGGGGAAAGAUUUAUCGGGGAUGGAUGAGCCCGCGUUGGAUUAGCUAGUUGGUGGGGUAAAGGCCUACCAAGGCGACGAUCCAUAGCUGGUCUGAGAGGAUGAUCAGCCACAUUGGGACUGAGACACGGCCCAAACUCCUACGGGAGGCAGCAGUGGGGAAUAUUGGACAAUGGGCGCAAGCCUGAUCCAGCCAUGCCGCGUGAGUGAUGAAGGUCUUAGGAUUGUAAAGCUCUUUCACCGGUGAAGAUAAUGACGGUAACCGGAGAAGAAGCCCCGGCUAACUUCGUGCCAGCCGCCGCGGUAAUAC